rnacentral:lncRNA from 1 species
AUCCUCCUCAUGGCUACAGUUGUGAGUGAACCAGCUGUCAUGGGUGCACAAGGACAGGCUGCUCUCUGUGCCAUUGCAGCGCACAUUGUCUAAGAGGAUCUUUCCAAAGCCUGGGCCAAAGUGGGCACCAAGGGGGGCAGACAGAGCCAGGCCACACCCAAGCUGCCUGCACACCACCUGUGCCUCUGGCAGGCCCCAGCCUUCAUCACACACCGACCCCCAGGAACCCUGGUAGGAAACCUCCACCCGUCCAGAGCAUCUUCCUGUGCCAUUCGCCAGUCUCAGCCUGGGCCAGGCUUCUGCAGAGACAAAAACAAGGUGUUGCCUUGGAAUAGUAAGCAAGCACAGCUGACCAGAAGCUGAAGUCAUCUGGAAGGACCAACUGAGCAGCCCUGGUCUUCAGGCCAAGAUCUGUUUUCUCUCACUCUGGAGCUUUCUUCUGUAGCUCAGCAGCCCCCACCUGUGCUACUUCCCAAGGCUUCUUCCAGGCACGGUGACCCCUCUCCACAGUUCACAAGAGCAACAGUGUGUCCCUGGGAAAGGCUGCUCACCUGGUGGGCUGAGCCCAGGCACACUGGCCCUGCGAUUGGCAGCUGCAGAGUCCGCCACAGGAAGAUCUGAAACAACAUUGGAUUGGGGGUUAGGAAUCAAGGUCCCUUUCCUAGGACAGACAUAGCACACAGCAGAAGAGGACUCAACUAAUAUCUGGCAAAAGUCCACCACAUCAUCCAUACCUUAACCCAAACAUCUGGUCUAGCCACAUAUUCAUAAUGAACUGCCAGAUUUCAGAAGAUGUUGGAGUCAAGUUUAGGUGGCCACAGAAGGCUCCUGAGUGUGAUCCCCGUGCUCUUAGUGCUUCCCCUUCCUUAACCCUCCCGGGUCCUGCAUGAGGGUACUCAGCAGUAGUAAAACAAGUCACUAAAAAUCGGGAAAAAGUUCUAAAAAUCAUGAUAUUCAUAAAGUUGUCUUGGAUGACCCCUCAGAGGACAUUAUAUAACCUAGUGACCCCCCUCCUCCUGCAUGUCCCAUGUGGAUGGUAAGGUGUCUAUCUACAAGACUAAUGAUGGAGUCACUGCUCUUACCGGACAAGAUGGUUGGUAACUUUUCAUUAUCUGUUGUGACUGAAACA